UACAGAGGUCUCAAGCGUUGUUCGGAUUCAUUGGGCGUAAAGGGUGUGUAGGUGGCGCGCUAAGUCGGGUGUGAAAUUUCGGAGCUUAACUCCGAAACUGCAUUCGAUACUGGCGUGCUUGAGGACUGGAGAGGAGACUGGAAUUCAUGGUGUAGCAGUGAAAUGCGUAGAGAUCAUGAGGAAGACCAGUGGCGAAGGCGGGUCUCUGGACAGUGACUGACGCCGAGACGCGAAAGCGUGGGUAGCAAACAGG
rnacentral:rRNA from 1 species